CAGACGUGCGCUCCCCGCGCUCGCCGCUCAGUUUCUGGCUGGCUGUCGUACAGAGCAGACAUGUGUUCCCCGCGCUCGCUCAGUUUCUGCCUGGAAGUUGCCGCGGGGGAAAAGAGCUAUGACGGUGGCGGCAUCUGGUGUGAUGCCUUGCAACUACGUGGCCACCUGUCGUCGAUCUCUGCAACUGCUGGGUGCAAACUACCAACAUGGCGGGCGCUGGUCGCUCGGGUGUUGCGGAGCGGCUUCUUCGCCGCGGCAUCGUUGAUUUUCGAAUAAAUUGUUUCUCUCCACUCUA